GAGAGCACAGUACGAUGAAAGUUGUAAGCUGUGUUCGGGUGGAGUUAUUGUCUAUCGUCGGCCUCUACAGUAGAAUCUGUCGGGGGACCUGAGAAGCGGUGGUUUACCCUGC
rfam:Capsicum annuum cultivar Zunla-1 unplaced genomic scaffold scaffold4217, whole genome shotgun sequence